ACGUCCGUAACUCAAUCUGGUAGAGUAUCACUAUGACAUGGUGAAAGUUGGUGGUUCAAAUCCACUCGGACGUA
rnacentral:tRNA from 1 species